rnacentral:rRNA from 1 species
GAUGAACGCUGGCGGCGUGCUUAACACAUGCAAGUCGAACGAUGAUCCGGGUGCUUGCACUCGGGGAUUAGUGGCGAACGGGUGAGUAACACGUGAGCAACCUGCCCCUGACUCUGGGAUAAGCGCUGGAAACGGCGUCUAAUACUGGAUAUGUCCCGUCACCGCAUGGUGUGCGGGUGGAAAGACUUUUCGGUUGGGGAUGGGCUCGCGGCCUAUCAGCUUGUUGGUGAGGUAGUGGCUCACCAAGGCGUCGACGGGUAGCCGGCCUGAGAGGGUGACCGGCCACACUGGGACUGAGACACGGCCCAGACUCCUACGGGAGGCAGCAGUGGGGAAUAUUGCACAGUGGGCGGAAGCCUGAUGCAGCAACGCCGCGUGAGGGAUGACGGCCUUCGGGUUGUAAACCUCUUUUAGCAGGGAAGAAGCGAGAGUGACGGCACCUGCAGAAAAAGCACCGGCUAACUACGUGCCAGCCGCCGCAGUAAAAC